rnacentral:rRNA from 1 species
GAUGAACGCUGGCGGCGUGUCUAAGACAUGCAAGUCGAACGCACUAGCAAUAGUGAGUGGCGCACGGGUGCGUAACACGUGGGUAAUCAACCCUUCAGCCUGGGAUAACGACUCGAAAGGGUCGCUAAUACCGGAUACGGCGCGAGAGGCUUCGGCUUCUCACGAGAAAGCCACGCAAGGGGCACUGAAGGACGAGCCUGCGGCCCAUCAGCUAGUUGGUGAGGUAAGAGCUCACCAAGGCUAAGACGGGUAGCUGGUCUGAGAGGAUGAUCAGCCACACUGGAACUGAGACACGGUCCAGACUCCUACGGGAGGCAGCAGUGGGGAAUCUUGCGCAAUGGGCGAAAGCCUGACGCAGCGACGCCGCGUGGGUGAUGAAGGCC